GGCCUCGUAGCUCAGUUGGCUAGAGCGUUGGCUGUACUAGAGCCUUCCCCUUGCUGGCGUGGGUUCGAAUCCCACUGGGCCG
rfam:Schistocephalus solidus strain NST_G2 genome assembly, scaffold: SSLN_scaffold0008988